CCCAGCAGUUGUCAGCUGUCCAGGCUGUGUGGUGCCUGUGAUUGUGUUACACUGUUGGAAGAGUAAGUGCUGCUUUGUUAAGGGUUGGCUCCGAGCGCUGUUUUGGUGUCGGGGCUGAGCACCUUCAGGCAGUGUUGCAUCCCUGAGAGUGGAAUGACUCUUUGUGGCGUUGUUCCUAGUCUAGAUGCAAACAGU